CCUACGGGUGGCAGCAGGUGGGAAUAUUGGUCAAUGGGCGCAAGCCUGAACCAGCGAUGCCGCGUGUGCGAAGAAGGCCCUAGGGUUGUAAAGCACUUUCAGUCGUAAAGAAAACCUGAUGAUUAAUAAUCAUCGGUCUUGACGUUAGCGACAGAAGAAGAUCCGGCUAACUCCGUGCCAGCAGCCGCGGUAAUACGGAGGGAUCGAACGUUAAUCGGAAUUACUGGGCGUAAAGCGCGCGUAGGCGGUUCAAUAAGUGGAGUGUGAAAUCCCUGGGCUCAACCUGGGAACUGCAUUCCAAACUGUCGGACUAGAGUAUGGUAGAGGGAGGUAGAAUUUCUUGUGUAGCGGUGAAAUGCGUAGAUAUAAGAAGGAAUACCGAUGGCGAAGGCAGCCUCCUGGACCAAUACUGACGCUGAGGUGCGAAAGCGUGGGGAGCA
rnacentral:rRNA from 1 species